rnacentral:rRNA from 1 species
CGGUGGAGCACGUGGUUGAAUUUGAAGCAACGCGAAGAACCUUACCAGGUCUUGACAUCCUUUGACCACUCUAGAGAUAGAGCUUCCCCUUCGGGGGCAAAGUGACAGGUGGUGCAUGGUUGUCGUCAGCUCGUGUCGUGAGAUGUUGGGUUAAGUCCCGCAACGAGCGCAACCCUUAUUGUUAGUUGCCAUCAUUUAGUUGGGCACUCUAGCAAGACUGCCGGUGACAAACCGGAGGAAGGUGGGGAUGACGUCAAAUCAUCAUGCCCCUUAUGACCUGGGCUACACACGUGCUACAAUGGGAAGUACAACGAGUCGCAAAGUCGCGAGGCUAAGCUAAUCUCUUAAAGCUUCUCUCAGUUCGGAUUGUAGGCUGCAACUCGCCUACAUGAAGCCGGAAUCGCUAGUAAUCGCGGAUCAGCACGCCGCGGUGAAUACGUUCCCGGGCCUUGUACACACCGCCCGUCACACCACGAGAGUUUGUAACACCCGAAGUCGGUGAGGUAACCUUUUGGAGCCAGCCGCCUAAGGUGGGAUAGAUGAUUGGGGUGAAGUC